rnacentral:rRNA from 1 species
UGAGUAACCUGCCCUUAACUCUGGGAUAAGCCUGGGAAACUGGGUCUAAUACCGGAUAUGACUCCUCAUCGCAUGGUGGGGGGUGGAAAGCUUUAUUGUGGUUUUGGAUGGACUCGCGGCCUAUCAGCUU